UACGUAGGGUGCAAGCGUUGUCCGGAAUUAUUGGGCGUAAAGAGCUCGUAGGCGGCCCUCUCAGUCGGAUGUGAAAUCCCCAGGCUCAACUUGGGAACGGCAUCCGAUACUGGAGGGCUUGAAUUCGGGAGAGGGAUGCAGAAUUCCAGGUGUAGCGGUGAAAUGCGUAGAUAUCUGGAGGAAUACCGGUGGCGAAGGCGGCAUCCUGGACCGAGAUUGACGCUGAGGAGCGAAAGCUAGGGGAGCAAACGGG
rnacentral:rRNA from 1 species